rnacentral:lncRNA from 1 species
CUGUGGAUAUGUAGCUAUGGGCAACUUCACGUCUCUGAACCCAAGUUUCCUCCAUUGUAAGAUGAAGACAAUGAAAAUGUCCUAAUUAGACUAUUGUCAGGAUUAAAACAGGUUACAUGAGAUGACUUAGGAAAGUGCAUAGCAUGACACCUGUGACAUUGUUGCUGCCCCCUCAAAAUACUAUUUUUCUUCUCCUCUGCCUCCUCAAACUCAGCCUGACCCCAAGAGCAUGUCUAUUUCACGAUCACCGUUUUUGGUGGGGACCACCUAGGCAUGGACCAGUGGAAGUACUUUUUUUUUUUUUUUUUUUUUUUUUUUUUUGGGAGACAGGUUCUCACUCUCUCACCCAGACAGGAGUGCAGCGGCACAAUCUUGGUUCACCACAACCUCUGCUUCCCAGGCUCAAGUGAUUCUCCUGCCUCAGCCUCCCAAGCAGCUGGGAUUACAGGUGCACACCACUACCGGUCAGCUAAUUUUUGUAUUUUUAGUAGAGACAGGGUUUCACCAUGUUGACCAGGCUGGUCUUGAACUCCAGGCCUCAAAUGAUCCACCUGCCUCGGCCUCCCAAAGUGCUGGGAUUACAGGGGUGAGCCACUGCGCCUGGCCCAAUGGAAGUACUUUUGACAGCAUCAUUUCUUUUGUCCAUUUAAAUGAAUACCAAGGACUGUGCAUUCUCCCCAGGUCACCUCUCCUAUCUGUCCCUGCAGUAUCUGGCCCCCAGCUCUGUCCAUGCCUUUGUUGCCUUGUGCUCACACCACGGUAACUUCCUCCAGCUUGUAACCUGCCUCCAGGCUCUGUCAUAGACAAUUCCCUCCUUUGCUGCCAAGUCAACUUCCUAAAGCACAGAUUCCAAAAGUCACAUACUGCUCAGAAAUCUUUGCUAGCUCCUAAUUGCCUACAGGAUAAAAUUGAACCGACUCAGCUUGUAAUUUAUGACCUGGCACCACCAUCUACGUUGUCUUGAUGCUGUCAUUCUCUGCUGUGUUUGAAUCAGGAGGAACCUAGAUCUUCUCUGAUCUCUGAAAAAUAAGUUCCUGGAUAUGAAAGGGGAUACUUUCCUUGGUGGUAGUCCCAGUGAAGACCCACUGAACAUCGUCAGCCUCAAAAUGUAAGCUGUGCUGUCAUCUGCUUUGUGGAACACAUAUGCUACACAUCUUCUCCUUUCAAUUGGGCUGAAGUUGGGGCACAGUUAAAGAGCAUUAUAAAGCUCCUGCUUUAGCAUGAACUUAGUUAUCUAUAGAAAAAAACAUGUACAAGGACACUGGGCUGUGGGGAGCAUUGCUCUCCCUCCAUUCCUGAGUGCUCUUAAUGGGAUUAUCCUGGCUUUCCAAAACCCUAUAGAGAAGAAGCUCAUAGAAGAAAAUUCUCUUACUGAAUCAGUAAAAUAUGGAAAAUAAUGGGACUGUUUAUUAAAGGAUUGAAUGAGAGAACACAAGUAAUGCACUUAGAAGAGUGACUGGCAUACAGUGAGUACUACGUAAGUGUUUGUUGGUGCUGGCUUCUCAACCAUGAUAGCCUGAAAUGUACCCGGAAAAUGGGGGCUAAUGUAAGUCAUAUUUAGAGAAGUUAUUUUGGGGGACAAUGUUUUUGACAAGACUACAUUUUUCAUUAUGUUGCUGUCUGUAAACAACUGUAGAUGCAGACUUGCAUUUUGAAAGGCAAGACCCAAAACACACAAACAGAGUAAAUACCUUUAAAAUGCCUCGAUCGCUGGAGAAAUGCCUGGAUGGACCUACCUGAGGGCAGACGCCACUGCCCAAAUUUCCUCUGGGGUUUCCCUGCGUCGGCUGCAUCUUGCCGACUUCCUCCUCGAUCCGACAGCGUGGGGCUCAGGAGCUGCUGCUGGCUGCUUGUCUGCAUGGGAGGAGAAGCACACAGUUACCGUCUUUUUAACCCUGCGCUCUCCUCCUUUUACUAUAAGAAAGGAAAACACAUGGCAGGAGGACAAGUGGGAAGAACAACAUGGACUCAGAGUGUCCACAAUGGGGAAAAGUGAAAAUGGGUAUAAAGGGUCACAGAAGAAAAAGAGCCACCACUGCACGCCCUGCUGAAGGAGACACCACUCUUCCUGGGACAUCUUGUCCUGGGUAACCCCCACUGCUUCGUUCCCCUCCAUGCCUGAGAAUGUCAUUGUUUCCCUUCAUAUCUUCGCUGGCAAACCAGGGGGUAAGGAAGGGGAACUGCAGGAAGGAAGGUGGGGCAGUGGGGACGGGCUGGGCGGGGGCAGUCUACUGUCACCAGCCUGGAGAUCCACACUUAGAGCUUCAGGGAAAGAGUUCUCUGCAGGCAAAGCUGUAUGAUGGGCCCUGGUGGAGGAUGGAGCUGAUAACAAUCUAAGCUACAGUGAAAGAAAGAGAGAUGCCAAGACUUCCCACACAUUUCACCUGUUCUCAGGUUCACCUGUCACCUCUCCCUUUCCUAACAAAAGCCUUGGUCUUCACAUCUCUUUAGUAUCCUUUUUUUUUUUUUUUUGUCACCUCUUUCUUUCUUAGGCUUUUUCAUCUAAAAACAGAGGGCUCUGAAAUCAUCACUUUCCCCAACCUCAUUAGCCCUGUCUCACUGUCUGUCCUGACUUCAGCCUGCCUCCCUCUCCCAUGCGAGACAUUGCCAACCAUCUUCAGGGUGACCAGUGGCAAGGCCACUGCAGAUGCCUCCCCUUGCCCCUUGGUUGACUAACUCCGCAGAAGUCCCUGCAGUCGGUGGCAGAUGAUUUCUAAAGGCUGGGGAGCCCAAAACAUGAGAUCUACUGAAAACUGAGCUAUGGCACCAGUGGGCCUCCUGGAGCACCCUGCUGGGCCGUGGAGCCUUAGGCUUCCAAAGGUACUCUGGCCCCUGGCUGCGUUGCUGCACACCAUGGAGCCUGGUGCUGCUGGGGGCUCUGCACAGAGCACGGGAUCAGCUCCACGUUGUUAACCUCAAAUCGUAAUUGCUGCCUCAUAAAGGGGCAGGUCCUCCCAGCCAGCUGCUUCUCACAGCACAGGACUCUCCAGGACGCUGAUAACUCCUUGUACUUUUUUAUAUAGACACAUACAUAGAGUUUGAAAAUGAAAAUAUGCUGUGACUUAAUAAAUAGAAACUCCUCAAGCCAAUUGUCCUGAAUUCCAUAUGUUCUUCUGAUACCCAACCAGGAAAGGAUAUAUCUUCAAUGAGUCUGAUUAUUUAAGGAGGUUGAAAGCUAAUUACAAACAUUUUCACUGAUUUUACUGCAAAUUUCUAUGACUUUAGAGAAGGGAGGAAAAUAUUUAGGGCAGAGCUUCCUGUAAACCAUACUCCAUGUAAUAUACCCAGAUUCAAAUGCAGCCCUUAGAGCUGAUGUUAACUCUUUAGACAAAAAUAAAACUACAGAAUUAUGAAGUUCAGGGCAUUCACUUUUUUUGGCAUUCAUAUGAGUCAGACUCUUUUUAAAUAACCUCAACUGCAUCCAAGAUGGCAAAGACAUAGACAUAAUCUGGAUCAAUGGAUUUCCGUUGCCUUUUUUUUUUUUAAUGAAAAUAUUCCUAUUAGAAAUAUUGUCACCUUGUUUGAAUGAUCUGACCAGCACCCAUUUUAUUUAUUUUUAUUAAAAGAAAGAAGCCCACAGAGUGUCCUGGGACAGAGGACGCCUCGUGCCCAUACCUCAGGUUGCAUGCUGUUGUCCUGACUGUUGGCAUUCGUGUCCUCACUGGGCUGGGUGGUCUCGAUGCUGGGCGGGUUCAGAAACCGGCUCAGCUCUUGCUGCUGACUCUCUCUCAGGCUGUGGAUGAUACUGCACGACUGCUGCUGUUUCUAUGGAAAUGCGAUUGUUUGUUCAGUAAAAUAAGCCCAGCAUCCUGCCUGCCCCACCGCCACACAAAUCUUAUUUUCUUCUCCCCUCUCCUAAGACCUGCAUGACGGGUGACCUCUUAGGAAUUUCCAAGUAAGGAUCCUGAACUAAUUUCAAUGUUCAAUUAAGGUAGGCUGAUGCAAAGGUGGGCUUAGAGAGGUAUGCAUUGACUUCCCAGUCCAUUUUCAUUUGUGUAACAAUCAGAAUAGUGACGGUCAUUGAUGCUUGUAUUUUAUUUAUUUGUUUUUCUUUUUGUUGUUGGUGUUUUCUGUUUUUUUUUUUUUUUUUUUAGAUAGGAUCUCACUAUGUCCCGUAGACUAGAGUUCAGUGGUGCGAUUAUUAUAGCUCACUGUAACCUUAAACUCCUAGGCUCAAGCUAUGCUCCUGCCUCAGCCUCCUGAGAAGCUGAGACUAAAAGUGUGCAUGACUGUGGCUGGCUAAUUAAUUUUUUUUUUUUUUUUUUUUUUUCAGAGAGGAGGUCUCACUCUGUUGCCCAAGCUAGUUUCAAACUUCUGGUCUUAAGCGAUCCUCCCGCCUCAGUUUCCCAAUGUGCUGGGAUUACAGGCAUGAGACACUGUGCCCAGCUUAUGUCUUAUUUAAAAUUACUAAUGUGGCUAUUCUAUUUUUUCUCCUCUUAUUUUAUUCUAGGCUCAUUAAGCCAAUACAAUCCCAACCCCUUUCCCACUUUCCUGCAAGUUGUAAGAGGCAAAGAGCCUUGGGUGGAUGAGAAAACCUUUGUGCUUGUCUUGGUUCUGAAGUUUUCAGGUCAAUCCAGGAGACCAAUCUGUCUCGGCAUAUACUAAAGCCAGGACUCCUUGUGCCCUCUCAGAGCCAGAGGAGGACAGAUUGAUCCCUGGAGCUAACAUAGCUACAGUGGCCAGCAGUGAUGGGACAUCACUGGGCAGCUGGCCUUGCUAUAGGAGGUUGAGUUGUAUCUUUUCUCUGGGAACCUUUUCUCCUCCAAUAGAAAUACAUGUGUCUGCAAUUGACGUUGUUGCUCUGAGGAAGAGGAUUGAAACAAUCUCUGUUAUAUAUAAAUGUUUAGUGAUUGCUUUGGGUUUUUUCCCUGUCUGUGAAACAUGCCAAAAGCAUUCAUAAAAGUAAUUAUCUCAUAGAAACAUUCACUGUAAAUACAGUAUAUGUCAAUGCAGUAUACAUUCAUUAAUUUAUGAGUUAGAGAAUCUUAUAGGCUUAUAAGUCAGGAAGCAGGAAACAUCAUUAAUCUUGAGAGGUGGUCUUUUCAGAAUAAAUGACAUUAUCACAGUUUGUUGAAAUUUUUAGCAGCAAUUUAAAGUAGUUUUGCAAAUUCAAUAUGUGGAAAAUUCUAGAAUUUUGAACAGUUGAGUUUAAUAAAUGGACAUCAUAUUUUAAUAUCAAUAAACUUUUUUUUUUUUUGAGACAGAUUCUCACUGUGUCACCCAGGCUGGAGUGCAGUGGCAUGAUCUCAGCUCACUGCAACUUCUACCUCCCAGGUUCAAGUGAUUCUCAUGCCUCAGCCUCCUGAGUAGCUGGGACUACAGGCAUGUGUGCCACGCCUGGUUAAUUUUUGUAUUUUUAGUAGAGAUGGGGUUUUGCCAUGUUGGCAGGCUGGUCUCCAACUCCUGGCCUCAAGUGAGUUGAGCUCCCCCCUUGACCUCUCAUAGUGCUGGGAUUACAGGCAUGAGCCACCACACCUGGCCAAUAAACUGCUUUUUAAGUCUUCAUGUCAUAUUAUAAAAAUGGGAUUCCAUGGAAACUCCUAAUGGACUCUGCUAAAGAGGGCAGGGCUGACUGUGGACUAGAGUGAAAGUCUGCAUCAUGAUCUGACCACUGUAAGUGGAGGUAGUGGACAUAGUUUAAAGGGAUAGAAGGCUGAUCACAGAAGGAGCUAAUCCCAUGUUCACGAAGCUCUUUUCUUUCAUCCUCCUGCGGGGCAGGGCGGGGCGGGGCGGGGACCCAACCUGCAUGUGUGCAGUUCACUCACAGCUCUGAUGCGCUUCAGGCACUUCUUGAGCCACAUGCGGAUGGUCUGCUUGGCCACCUCCUCCUCUAUGGUGUACUCCAGCUGCUCCCUCGCCAGGAGUUCCUCCAGCUGCAAGCUCUUCCGGAUGUCCACGGACCGGUAUGAAAGCAUGCUGGUGGGAGAAACACACCUGCAAUCGCAGCUCUGAUUCACCUGAGAUUUACACCCUUAGAUACGUCAAAAUCCAGAGAGGACAUCACUCAGUCUAAUAAGUCUAGUGUUUUGACGCCACCCCUCGCCACCCGCAUGUCUUGGGCUGGUCCUGUCACCUCUCUGUGUCUCCCUUCCCUCGUCUGUAAAACAAAGAUGAUAGAUAGUCCUGGUAACUCCUUUAUUUAAUGACUAAGUGAGUUAAUAUCUGUGAGGCUCUUAUAGUAGUAAGUGCCAUCUAAGUGCCUGUAAAGCAAAAGAUCCAGGCUAGGAAAAGGCUCGCGACUUUCUCUGCAGAAGGAAGACCGCACCUCCCAUACUUUCUUCACACUUAGCCCCCCGAGGUGAUGGUUAAUAUGCUCGGCUGUGCGUCACACAUCCCUACUCCCUGCAUCCCACUUCCCUCUCUGUUUCUCUCAUUCAUCCUUCUGUAUCUUCCUUAUUAAUUAAUUUUUUCUUUUUUUGAGAUGGAGCUUCACUCUUGUUGACCAGGCUGGAGUGUAAUGGCGUGCUGUCAGCUCACUGCAACCUCCGCCUCCUGGGUUCAAGCAUUUCUUCUGCCUCAGCCUCCCAAGUAGCUGGGAUUACAGGUGUGUGCCACCACGCCCAGCUAGUUUUGUAUUUUUAGUAGAGACGAGUUUUCACCAUGUUGGUCAAACUGGUCUUAAACUCCUAACCUCAAAUGAUCCACCUGCCUCAGCCUCCCAAAGAGCUGGGAUUACAGGUGUGAGCCACCAUGCCUGGUCUUCCUUAUUAAUUUCAGAGGCUACCAAACAAACCCAGGGUUGAAUAUCCACUCCCAUUUAACCCUUGACAC